rnacentral:rRNA from 1 species
GUGGGGAAUAUUGCACAAUGGGGGAAACCCUGAUGCAGCGACGCCGCGUGAGCGAAGAAGUAUUUCGGUAUGUAAAGCUCUAUCAGCAGGGAAGAAAAUGACGGUACCUGACCAAGAAGCCCCGGCUAACUACGUGCCAGCAGCCGCGGUAAUACGUAGGGGGCAAGCGUUAUCCGGAUUUACUGGGUGUAAAGGGAGCGUAGACGGAGUGGCAAGUCUGAUGUGAAAACCCGGGGCUCAACCCCGGGACUGCAUUGGAAACUGUCAAUCUGGAGUACCGGAGAGGUAAGCGGAAUUCCUAGUGUAGCGGUGAAAUGCGUAGAUAUUAGGAGGAACACCAGUGGCGAAGGCGGCUUACUGGACGGUAACUGACGUUGAGGCUCGAAAGCGUGGGGAGCAAACAGGAUUAGAUACCCUAGUAGUCC